rnacentral:rRNA from 1 species
ACUCAAAUGAAUAGACGGGGACCCGCACAAGCGGUGGAGCAUGUGGUUUAAUUCGAGGCAACGCGAAGAACCUUACCAGGCCUUGACAUGUCCAGUUUGAUCGUCAGAGAUGACUUUCUUCACCUCGGGUGGCUGGAACACAGGUGCUGCAUGGCUGUCGUCAGCUCGUGUCGUGAGAUGUUGGGUUAAGUCCCGCAACGAGCGCAACCCUCGUCUUUAGUUGCCAACACGUAAUGGUGGGAACUCUAAAGAAACUGCCCGUGAUAAGCGGGAGGAAGGUGGGGACGACGUCAAGUCAUCAUGGCCCUUACGGCCUGGGCUACACACGUGCUACAAUGGUAGUGACAAUGGGCAGCGAUACCGCAAGGUUCAGCUAAUCCCCAAAAACUAUCUCAGUUCGGAUUGUACUCUGCAACUCGAGUACAUGAAGUUGGAAUCGCUAGUAAUCGUAGAUCAGCAUGCUACGGUGAAUACGUUCCCGGGUCUUGCACACACCGCCCGU